CUGUUGAAUGCAUUUAUACAUACUUAAUGAGGAUUUUUAUGAAUGGCUAUUAAAAGAUCUGAGGGCAGUUAUAUUCAGGUUCAAAGAAAGGAUGUCCUAUGGGAAUUUAAUAUUUUUGAACUGUUGGCAGACCACAAACUGGUAUUUACUGGCAUUCUUGUGUUCACGGGUCUAACAUAACAGCUGAAGGUUGCAUUGCCAUGCAUUUCCUCUCCUCUUAACUCUACUUUUGUGUUCCUUUUUAAUGUGAAGCAUCAAAUAUUUCCACACACUUGAAAAAAAUGGAACUCUUUACGUUUUGUGCCUGUAAUGAUGAAUGUACAUGCCUGAUAGUUUGUGUGGGUGCACACGGAGCUCAGCAUGUAUGGAGGUUAACGGACAGCUUUGUGGAGUCAGUUCUGUUUAACCUUAUGUGAGCCCCCAAGGAUUGAAGUCAGGCCACUAGGUCUGUGUGGCAAUCCCUACGCCCACAGAACAUCUCCCCAGCCCUGCACUCACGUUUGGAGGCUUGCUUACUGUCUCACUGUACAACACAAGAUACAGUUGGUAGAAGAACGUGACCAGAUGCCCAGCUCUGUCUCAGGUGACUCUGAGGUUGUUAGUUAGGUGACUUAACUUUCAUAAGCUCAGCAGCACAGUAACCAUUAAAUGAAUGGGCCAGCUCACUCGUGGCAGUUUAUUGACAAUUUUAACACUUCUUGAGGAGUAGUGGCACUCUUCAAAAUUUGUUCUAGUGUGUGAGCAGCAUUUAUGAAAGCUGUGCUAACACGAGCACAUUUAGCACGGUCUGAGAGUCAUGUCACCUAAAAGGACAAGCAGGGCUACUAUAAGCACUCUUUGAAGAAGAAUGAUGUGUCUAUGAGGUAAGAAUUAAAGACCUUUUAAAAGAAAAGAAAGGUUUUGAAUAUUCUAGCCACUUGGAUAGCAAGUCUUAAAUAGGAGAGAGUCUGAAUGCCUGAUAGGCUUUUGCUUCAUUUUGUUUGUCUAUUACAGUGAUUGAUCAAUCAACUGUAUCUUGUAUCAUCUAUCCAGUAUGCCCAGCCUUUUGACGUUGUGACAUGACCCUGUCAUCUACAAAGUUCAUGACUGAGAACUGCCCAGUUGAGUUGCAAAACAACAAUAACAAACUAAAAUACAAACGAAACUCAAAAUCUUAUAUAACAGUUUAAGAAUUUUGUGUUGGUCUACCUUUAUAGUUUAAUCUUGGCUGCAGGUUAGACAUGUUCAUAUUCUUGUGGUGCAAAUUACUUUUAGCCCAUAUGGGGAAAGGGGUUUGCCUAGCUUUUCUGCUUUUUCUACAGAGUAAUAAAACUAAAUAUUAAAAAUAUUAUCCCAUAGAGGUGUCAAAAGUGCAUAUGAAAUAUAAAUUUCUAUAAAAUCUC
rnacentral:lncRNA from 1 species